rnacentral:rRNA from 1 species
AUUGAACGCUGGCGGCAUGCCUUACACAUGCAAGUCGAACGGCAGCACGGGAGCUUGCUCCUGGUGGCGAGUGGCGAACGGGUGAGUAAUACAUCGGAACGUACCCAGGAGUGGGGGAUAACGUAGCGAAAGUUACGCUAAUACCGCAUAUUCUGUGAGCAGGAAAGCGGGGGAUCGCAAGACCUCGCGCUCUUGGAGCGGCCGAUGUCGGAUUAGCUAGUUGGUGAGGUAAAAGCUCACCAAGGCGACGAUCCGUAGCAGGUCUGAGAGGAUGAUCUGCCACAAUGGGACUGAGACACGGCCCAGACUACUACGGGAGGCAGCAGUGGGGAAUUUUGGACAAUGAGGGCAACCCUGAUCCAGCCAUGCCGCGUGAGUGAAGAAGGCCUUCGGGUUGUAAAGCUCUUUCGGCGGGGAAGAAAUGGCAACGGCUAAUAUCCGGUGUUGAUGACGGUACCCGCAUAAGAAGCACCGGCUAACUACGUGCCAGCCGCCGCAGUAA